CUUGUAAACCAAUUUUAUAUUAAAAGCAGUGGAGCAUGUACUUUUCAUAAACCAGAUGAAACAUUAUUUUAAACCACAAAUGUGUUCAGUGAUUAUACAUUGCCAUGUACUCAUGUCAUCUAAACUUUUAGAGUGCAAGUUUUUGUUUUGAGGGUGUAAAAAUGAUGUCAAUCAAAUAACAUGUAAUUUAUCACUCUUCUCCUGUUCUGCAUCUUUCUCUAACUAUUUAAAUGCAUAUUGUUUUACAAGUCUUUAUUUAUGGAAAAAAUGGACAAGAUGGUUAUACUACAAUAUGAAUAAAAAUUAAAAACAAUUUUUUUUUCCAUCUAAUAUUCAUUAUUUUAAAUGCAGUGUAGUAUGUACUAUUCAUAAAACAGAUGAAAGAUUAUUUUAAACCACAAAUGUGUUCCAUGAUUAUAUGCUGCCAUGUACUCGUCCCAUCAGCAAUUAUGGAAUGUGUAUUCAUUUCAUCAACAAUUUUUUAGUGAAAGUUCUACUUUGAGAGUGUAAAAAAAAAGAUGUGAAUCUAAAAACAUGUAACUUUUUGUUCUUGCCUAUCCCUCUCAUUUUCUGCAUCUUUCUCGAACUAUUUUAAUGCAUAAUUGUUUUACAAAAUCUUUAUUUAUGGAAAAAAGGAAGAGAUGUUGCUGCAAUAUGAAUAAAAAUUAAGACAGAACAUU
rnacentral:misc_RNA from 1 species